AUUGGACCCGGCGGGCCUGCAUUUAAAGGGACCGCACCCUCCAGGGACAGAAGGCUGAAAAGUGAUCAGUACUUUGUAGCAGAAUCAAGACCACUGAGAAGCCCAAAGAGAUCGCGCCGCUUGCUCAACUUCACACAGCUCUCCUACUCGCCAACUUUUCCCAAAGUAAAGGUGCAUCACUGUGUAUAACGAGCAGAAUGCUCACUCUCUUGAAUGGUCCUUGCAAACCACAGCAUGAACAGCGUUCAUGAACCAGUUUAGGCUGGGAAAGAGUAAUUUGACCAAUUUACAGAAGGAGAAACCAAGACCUAGAAGCAGUAAACUACAUCCAGAGGUUACCAGCCUGACUUGAUGCACCAGGGACCAGAACUCAGGAACCUGACUCAGACCAGAGCAGCCGUGUCACCUCCCUGGAAGUCAGUUCAAAACCCAACUCCAACAGCUCCUUGACCCACCAGGACAUUUAUUUUUAUUUUUAUUUUUAUUUUUAAUAAUUUUAGUCGUAGAUGGACACAAUACCUUUAUUUUAUUCUUUUAUUUUUAUGUGGUGCUGAG